rnacentral:lncRNA from 1 species
GCAAGAUGCCGUCACCAGAGUUGAUGCGGUGGUCCAGUGGUGUGUCCGCGGCCAAUAGCAUAACUGUGCAUUGUGGUGUAGCAUCGUGAGCAGUAUGAGUGAGUGUGCAGAAGGGUAGCGUCAGCCUCAAGCACAGCCGUCCAGCGAUAUGAGAGGGCCAUCGUAGAAAACGAAGUGCAAAAAGGGAACCAGGGUUGUCAGCCUGAGCACUGCCUACAGGUUCUGGACGGCCUUCCUGGGGUUUUCCUGUCGGGCACCGCUAGAGUCCGCCAACUUCUGCAAGCAGCCCAAGUACUUGAGGAGACCUGCGAACGUCACAACAACGAAGAAAUUAGUCAGCAUUUCUCCGGGCCACUCUAUUUCCAUAUUCAGGCGAUGCAAUGACCGACCUCAGGCGGAAGGACAUGGCGGCUGUGCUCUCUGGAACUACCGAACUAGCCAUACGGGUUCUGCUUACCUUUAGUAUUGAUGAAUGAAACUUUUCCUCGUUGUGACAGCCGUGCUGUCUGUGUUGCACAAUACUACAGUGUGACGUCUUCAUUAGUGUGUCACAUCAUCAUAACAAUUACAAUCAACAUCGUGCUUCAUGGCCACUGCAGCCUCUUCCAGCGAAUUCCAUACACCAUUUUCCUUGAGUCAUCUCACUUCAGCCUAAGACCGAAAAUUUCCUAUCCACAUCAUACUGUCUAUUGUCAUCUAGCUUCCUCGACUGUGUUUGCCCUUUAUUCGCAUCCUGCGCCCGUUCGCGUAAAUACGUUGUACGUCAUCAUCAUCAUCAGUCUGACUACACCCACUGCAGGUCAAAGGCCUCUCCCAUGUUGCGCCAAUCAACGCGGUUCUGCGCUUGCUACGGUCACGUUAUCCCCGCAAUAUUUUUGAUCGCAUCAGCCACCUAACUUCUUGCCUCCCCCUCUCGCGCUUGCCCUCUCUUGGAAUCCGGUCUGUUAGUCUUAAUGACCAGCGGUUGUCUUGCGUUGUACGGAUAAGAUACGUAAUCAUGCCAAAACAACUUGCCUGCCCCAGCAUGUAUCCUUAAUUACCUAGUCUCCGCUCUGUUCACACCUAGUAUUUUACUCUUGCACACCACAUAUCUCAUUUACGCAUUCCACUUAUACCAAAACAGAACGCUGAAUUGGUCUGGUUACCGCAUGCGAAAAGACUGCUUUAGAAGCUGAAUAAGACGGGACGACACACAAACGCGAUCGCUGACUCCGUAAUGUUUAUUUGUUGUGAAGAACUACGUAUAUGCGGGAAUCAGCAAGGAGGUCAGAUACCACUUGCGGAUCGCCCCUCCUCUCCCCACUCAAGAUAUCAGGUCUCUUCCCUUCAGAAAAGAUCUGAAAGGCUCACCGAUUCACUCUAAUCUAAUCUAUAUAGAACAUUCACUCGCCCACGAGUCACGACCACCGUCCUCUGGGCUUGCCUUGUCAUCUAUACUGGCCUCUCCC